AAGAUUCAAAUGCAUAUAUCAACAGCAUAACAUCAUUAAAGUUGUAAUAAAGACAUGAAACUUCAACCGAAUAUUUGGUGAACACAGCGCAAGAAAAAUCAGCUUGAAGAUGCAUACAUGCAGCAUUUUUGUGAAGUUUACAACUACAAUUCCAGCCAACACUUAAUUUAUACUACAUCUACAUAUCACAACUAGAUAAAUUUUGUGCCUAACUCCAUGGUGUGAUGCAAUCAUUGGGUUCCUCCAAUAUACCGACCUCCGGCACUCGCGCACCAUCUUUUUCUAUGAUUUCAUCAUCCAAUAAUUUCACACUCUCAAACUCAGAUUCUACCAAAAUAAUGUCAUCCACAUCGUCCAAAAUAUCUUACCCUGCACCAAAAAUCAGAUACAAUGUUAAUGCUAAUGCUGUGAUCUCUAAUUGAUAGAAUACACUCAUUCCAAGUUAUAUAAAACAUUUUGGGCACAAGAGACAAGUGGUGGGUAUGAAUCUAUUUCUAAGCAUCAACAACUCAAGAUAACCAACGCGAAGUGAUGAAUCAAAAUCAACAUUUAUCACGAAAAAUUUAGUUAUGCAUCUACACUGUACAAAGAAAAAAGGCACCAUUUCCGUCCUUCAGAGUUGGGCAAAUCGUUAUUUUUAGGUUUUAUGCAAAUUCACACAAACAAAGCAAGACCCAACCGAGCCUGACAAACACAUUAGUGUGUAUCAGAAAAAUUUACUGUAGGAAUAGUUCAAAUAACAAACAGGAAAAUAAGGUGGGCGUAUUAACACAUUGCAUUUUGGACAUAAUUACAAACUACCCAUUACCUUUGUCCAUCAUCUCUUAGAUUAACUCAAGAAAAAGAUGGCAGCGCCGGAGCAAAGGUCGGACGAUUGUAGUGAAAAUUUU
rnacentral:lncRNA from 1 species